rnacentral:rRNA from 1 species
AACGAACGCUGGCGGCGUGCUUAACACAUGCAAGUCGAACGUGAUUCAGAGCUUGCUCUGAUGAAAGUGGCGCACGGGUGAGUAACGCGUGGAUAACCUGCCCUGGUAUCUGGGAUAACAUCUCGAAAGGGGUGCUAAUACCGGAUAAGCCUCCGGGAUCUUCGGAUUCUGCAGGAAAAGAAGGCCUCUAUUUAUAAGCUUUCGUAUCAGGAUGGGUCCGCGUACCAUUAGCUAGUUGGUGGGGUAAUGGCCUACCAAGGCGACGAUGGUUAGCUGGUCUGAGAGGAUGAUCAGCCACACUGGAACUGAGACACGGUCCAGACUCCUACGGGAGGCAGCAGUGGGGAAUUUUGCGCAAUGGGGGAAACCCUGACGCAGCAACGCCGCGUGAGUGAUGAAGGCUUUCGGGUCGUAAAGCUCUGUCAGAGGGGAAGAAAUGGAACUGGCUAAUAUCCAGUUUUCUUGACGGUACCCUCAAAGGAAGCACCGGCUAACUCCGUG